AGUAAGUCUAUUAGCCAGAAGCAAUUCCAGAGCUCACAGAAAUUCUUUGAAAGGUCUUGUGUGGCCCCUAACAUUCGAAUUGAACUAAAAUGUGAAUCUCAGUAAAAGCAACACAGUUCAUGGUGUUUGCUGAUAAUGGCCACACAUCUUCUUUUGGUUUCCCCCCAGAGGAUCCUGGGGGCUCUGGGAGUACCCUCAGCUUGGUGCUUUGCUGACUUUAUUUUUUUUUAACUUUGGACCUUUAUAAAAGUCAAAAAUCAAUUUUGAAUAUUUUAAGUUCCUGGUUUUACUCUACAGCCCUAGUUAUGGACAAGCCAACCCUUAUG
rnacentral:lncRNA from 1 species